rnacentral:rRNA from 1 species
GCAAGUCGAGGGGUAACAUAGAGGAGCUUGCUUUUCUGAUGACGACCGGCGCACGGGUGCGUAACGCGUAUACAAUCUACCUUUUGCUGAGGGAUAGCCCAGAGAAAUUUGGAUUAAUACCUCAUGGUAUUGUUUAUUGGCAUCAAUAAACAAUUAAAGGUUACGGCAAAAGAUGAGUAUGCGUUCUAUUAGCUAGUAGGUAAGGUAACGGCUUACCUAGGCAACGAUAGAUAGGGGCCCUGAGAGGGGGAUC